rnacentral:sRNA from 1 species
ACGUGCCCGGGCGUGCAGCCGCGCGGGCGAAGGAACAGAACACCGUGUCGGGAAGAUUUCCGGCACAUCAGGGCGUU